CCAAGUGCUGGCAGUAAAGGCGUGUGCCACCACCGCCCGGUAAAAAAAUAUUUUAAUUAGUUUGUCUUUGUGAUUUAUCAACACAUUUUUCAGAUUAUUUCAUGGGUUUUAUUAUUAUUAUUUCAUUCUAUAACCCAGGCUAGGCUUGAAAUUGGGAUCCUUCUGUUUCAGUUCUGUUGAGUCCGGGGAUUACGUCUCAGCUGUGGUUUGUCUGUGGGCUAACAAUGAUUUUAUAUAUUCAGCCAUCCAUUCAUCCUUAACUAGUCACCACUGAUGACCCAGCACACCCCAUUGGGGCCGCUCUGCUAGCUUUAACAGGAAACAAGAUAAAUAAGACAUUUUAUUCCAUCCCACAGCUUUUGUCGUCUGGUUACCCUGGCAACAGACUCGGAGUCUGCGUUGUCAGAUAACACACAGUCCACACUGCAACUGGGACAGGACCUGGAGACAGCUCAGCAAAGGUGUUGCCUGUGUGUGAGCUACCGGAGAGGUUUCCGUUACUCCUUGAAACCAGUCAUUUCUCCACAAACAAGGUUUCCAGCCCAGAAAGCUGGGGCUCUGGGGCUUGAACUAGUAGCAUCCGGCAAGGGGGUAUGAAAGACAAUCAAAAUGUUAUAAGGAGAAAUGCCGCGCUUUCAUUAACUUUUACAUACAGACUUAAUCCUUUUCUUACUGGGGAUAUGUUUAAAUCAUGUGAGGAAUACUGGCAGCACAGUGUAGACAUAGCUGUCUUAUGAAUGAACACACAUGCUGAGCGCCCAGUGGCGUGGAGUAUUGAGUUGACUGAUCCUGUCCUUCAUCUUUGCUUAGCCAUACAUAGAACUCCGUGACAGGCUUACCAGGCCAGCUUUCCAAAGCCACCGGGGUCUGUUUGGAUCUGGUGGCUGAGAAGAGAAUUGUACAGGCUUUAGGAUGGUUAACUUUUGAGGUAGGUGAGCAGACUCUGCCAUGUCUGCCUGACGUAGCCUGUUGAGGGUUGGCUAACUGCUGCAAGGCAUGAUGGGUAAUGCCUCACACAAUGGGAGUGUGUGGGUCCCCCCAUCCCCCGCCGCCAUUUUUUUUUUCUGUAGUCAUAGCACCGGGCCAUAAAAAGACAGCUCAGUGCCUGAAUGCAGAUAGUCAUUCAGGGACCAAGAUGGCUGGUGAUGUCUGUGGCUUCCGCAACUGGUCCAGGCUCCAUUCAGAAGGCAGUUGAAAAGCUGGGUGAGGUGGUACAGGCCUGUUACCACAGCAAGGAAGGAGCAUCAUGAAUUCCAAGCCAGUCUAAGCUACACGGUGUUGCAAGUAGCUUUUGCUACUGUCUACGAUCCGGAACCGGCCAUGCUACCAGCCUACCACCCAGCUUUCCUUGAAUUUGCAGGACCCGGAAGUCCUGCCUAUUCCUUCUGCCCAGCGAUUGGCCAAUGGCAUCUUUACUGACAGAUCAAGAACCAAUUGGGGAACAGGACCACCCAUACACAAAGGUUCUGUUGCCAGAAUAAAACUGGUAGCCAUGCUUGUUAGCAGGAAGACUGGGAGAGGAGUGCUGGCUGCACAGUGGUGGUGGAGAGGAAUUUGGAUGCCUUUUGAUUUAUGGGGCAAUGACUUUUCAAGCCCCAGUUUUGCCUGCUAUUGAGAACUGGUUUGCUCCCUUUCUCAGGACCUCUGGUUAUGAUGUCAUUUUACCUAAGACCACAAACCUAACAGUUACAUGGCGCCUGGCAUGGGGGCUCAUUGUUUCUAUAGAUCGUCAGUUUCUUUUUUCUUUUUUUU